AUUGAACGCUGGCGGUACACUUAACACAUGCAAGUCGAACGGUAACAGAAGUUAGCUUGCUAACUUGCUGACGAGUGGCGGACGGGUGAGUAAUACGUAGGAAUCUGCCUUAAAAGUGGGGAAUAACUCGGGGAAACUCGAGCUAAAUACCGCAUACUUUCUAAGGAAAAAAGCUGGGGGACCUUUUUGGCCUAGCGCUUUAAGAGGAGCCUGCCUCGGAUUAGCUUGUUGGUGGGGUAAUGGCCUACCAAGGCGAUGAUCCGUAGCUGGUCUG
rnacentral:rRNA from 1 species